rnacentral:rRNA from 1 species
AGAAUCAACGCUGGCGGCGUGCCUAACACAUGCAAGUCGAACGAGAAAGUGGAGCAAUCCAUGAGUAAAGUGGCGACCGGGUGAGUAACACGUGACUAACCUACCCUCGAGUGGGGAAUAACCUCGGGAAACCGAGGCUAAUACCGCAUAACAUCGCAAGAUCAAAGCAGAAAUGCGCUUGAGGAGGGGGUCGCGGCUGAUUAGCUAGUUGGUAGGGUAAUGGCCUACCAAGGCUUAGAUCGGUAGCCGGCCUGAGAGGGCGCACGGCCACACUGGAACUGAAACACGGUCCAGACUCCUACGGGAGGCAGCAGUGGGGAAUUUUGCGCAAUGGGGGAAACCCUGACGCAGCAACGCCGCGUGGAGGAUGAAGUCCCUUGGGACGUAAACUCCUUUCGACCGGGACGAUACUGACGGUACCGGAAGAAGAAGCACCGGCUAACUCUGCGCCAGCAGCCGC